rnacentral:rRNA from 1 species
GACGAACGCUGGCGGCGUGCUUAACACAUGCAAGUCGAACGGAAAGGCACUGCUUUUGUGGGGUGCUCGAGUGGCGAACGGGUGAGUAACACGUGAGUAACCUGCCCCUGACUUUGGGAUAACUUCAGGAAACUGGGGCUAAUACCGGAUAGGAGCUCCUGCUGCAUGGUGGGGGUUGGAAAGUUUCGGCGGUUGGGGAUGGACUCGCGGCUUAUCAGCUUGUUGGUGGGGUAGUGGCUUACCAAGGCUUUGACGGGUAGCCGGCCUGAGAGGGUGACCGGCCACAUUGGGACUGAGAUACGGCCCAGACUCCUACGGGAGGCAGCAGUGGGGAAUAUUGCACAAUGGGCGGAAGCCUGAUGCAGCAACGCCGCGUGCGGGAUGACGGCCUUCGGGUUGUAAACCGCUUUCGCCUGUGACGAAGCGUGAGUGACGGUAAUGGGUAAAGAAGCACCGGCUAACUACGUG